AUACCUUUCUCGGCCUUUUGGCUAAGAUCAAGUGUAGUAUCUGUUCUUAUCAGUUUAAUAUUUGAUACGUGGGCCAUCGGCCCACUCGAUAUUAAUCUUAUUUUUUAUGGGGAAAGACCCAUCCCACUUGAUAUUAAUCUUAUUUUUUAUGGGGAAAGACCCAUCACAAUAGCUUGCUAUUGGGGUCUUUAAGCGUCGCCUUGGCGUGCAAGCGUCGCCUUGGCGUUGCACUACUG
rnacentral:scaRNA from 1 species